rnacentral:rRNA from 1 species
AGGAAAGCAGGGGAUCGCAAGACCUUGCGCUCUUGGAGCGGCCGAUGUCUGAUUAGCUAAUUGGUGAGGUAAAGGCUUACCAAGGCGACGAUCAGUAGCUGGUCUGAGAGGACGACCAGCCACACUGGGACUGAGACACGGCCCAGACUCCUACGGGAGGCAGCAGUGGGGAAUUUUGGACAAUGGGGGAAACCCUGAUCCAGCCAUGCCGCGUGAGUGAAGAAGGCCUUCGGGUUGUAAAGCUCUUUCAGCCGGAACGAAACGGUCACGGCUAAUACCUGUGAUCACUGACGGUACCGGAAGAAGAAGCACCGGCUAACUACGUGCCAGCAGCCGCGGUAAUACGUGGGGUGCAAGCGCUAAUCGGAAUUACUGGGCGUAAAGCGUGCGCAGGCGGUUUUGUAAGUCAGAUGUGAAAUCCCCGGGCUUAACCUGGGAACUGCGUUUGAAACUACAAGGCU